rnacentral:rRNA from 1 species
CACGUAGGAGGCGAGCGUUGUCCGGAAUCAUUGGGCGUAAAGAGCGCGCAGGCGGCUUGGCAAGUCGGGUGUGAAAUCCCGGGGCUCAACCCCGUGACUGCAUCCGAUACUGUCAGGCUAGAGGUAGGUAGGGGAGAUCGGAAUUCCUGGUGUAGCGGUGAAAUGCGCAGAUAUCAGGAAGAACACCUAUGGCGAAGGCAGCACUCUGGGACGGUACUGACGCUGAGACGCGAAAGCGUGGGGAGCGAACAGG